rnacentral:rRNA from 1 species
GACGAACGCUGGCGGCGUGCUUAACACAUGCAAGUCGAACGGAAAGGCCCCCUUGUGGGGUACUCGAGUGGCGAACGGGUGAGUAACACGUGAGUAACCUACCCUUGACUUUGGGAUAACUUCAGGAAACUGGGGCUAAUACCGGAUAGGAGCUCCUGCUGCCUGGUGGGGGUUGGAAAGUUUCGGCGGUUGGGGAUGGACUCGCGGCUUAUCAGCUUGUUGGUGGGGUAGUGGCUCACCAAGGCUUUGACGGGUAGCCGGCCUGAGAGGGUGACCGGCCACAUUGGGACUGAGAUACGGCCCAGACUCCUACGGGAGGCAGCAGUGGGGAAUAUUGCACAAUGGGCGGAAGCCUGAUGCAGCAACGCCGCGUGCGGGAUGACGGCCUUCGGGUUGUAAACCGCUUUCGCCUGUGACGAAGCGUGAGUGACGGUAAUGGGUAAAGAAGCACCGGCUAACUACGUG